rnacentral:rRNA from 1 species
CCUACGGGCGGCAGCAGUGGGGAAUAUUGCACAAUGGGGGAAACCCUGAUGCAGCGACGCCGCGUGAGUGAAGAAGUAUUUCGGUACGUAAAGCUCUAUCAGCAGGGAAGAAAAACCGGCCUUAGGGCCGCCAGACGGUACCUGACUAAGAAGCCCCGGCUAACGACGGGCCAGCAGCCGCGGUAAUACGUAGGGGGCAAGCGUGAUCCGGAUUUACUGGGUGUAAAGGGAGCGGAGACGGCAGCGCAAGUCUGGAGUGAAAUGCCGGGGCCCAACCCCGGAACUGCUGUCGAAAAUGGGCAGCUGGAGUGCAGGAGAGGUAAGCGGAAUUCGUGGUGUAGCGGUGAAAUGCGUAGAUAUUAGGAGGAACACCGGUGGCGAAGGCGGCUUACUGGACUGGAACUGACGUUGAGGCUCGAAAGCGUGGGGAGCAAACAGGAUUAGAUACCCUAGUAGUC